rnacentral:rRNA from 1 species
AGUCGAGCGGACAGAUGGGAGCUUGCUCCCUGAUGUUAGCGGCGGACGGGUGAGUAACACGUGGGUAACCUGCCUGUAAGACUGGGAUAACUCCGGGAAACCGGGGCUAAUACCGGAUGGUUGUUUGAACCGCAUGGUUCAAACAUAAAAGGUGGCUUCGGCUACCACUUACAGAUGGACCCGCGGCGCAUUAGCUAGUUGGUGAGGUAACGGCUCACCAAGGCAACGAUGCGUAGCCGACCUGAGAGGGUGAUCGGCCACACUGGGACUGAGACACGGCCCAGACUCCUACGGGAGGCAGCAGUAGGGAAUCUUCCGCAAUGGACGAAAGUCUGACGGAGCAACGCCGCGUGAGUGAUGAAGGUUUUCGGAUCGUAAAGCUCUGUUGUUAGGGAAGAACAAGUAUCGUUCGAAUAGGGCGGUACCUUGACGGAACCUAACCAGAAAGCCACGGCUAACUACGUGCCACCAGCCGCGGUAUAUACGUAGGUGGCAAGCGUUGUCCGGACUUAUUGGGCGUAAGCGGCUUGCAUGCGGUUUCUUAAGUCUGAUGCGACCGCCCUCGGCUCAACCGGAUAGGGUAUUGGGAUACUGGGGAACUUGAGUGCACAAGAGGAU